rnacentral:snRNA from 1 species
CUCUUAAUAGCUUCUUCU